rnacentral:lncRNA from 1 species
AGAGGACCCAUGGCUCUCGACCUUUGCCUCUCCCGAGUCCGAACGGGAGUUUGUGGUAGAAAAAGAAGUUUGGGCGUAUGUUCAAGAAAUGGGAUUUGCUAGAGAUAGCUUGAGCUGACUUGAUGAUAAAAAACUAAAGCCGGCAUUCCAUAGACAAGAUGUGGUGUGUGUGACCCCAUACUACCUCAAUCAGGCUGAUUGAGGUAGUAUGUACAUGUAGAUGCGUUCAUCCACCACUGGCCUGCUGGCCCCCCUACCUCUGAGGAAGCACAGUUCCCGCUCAGCCCAGUCAAAACUGUUCGCUGCUCUGGCACCCCAAUGGUGGAACAAGCUCCCUCACGACGCCAGGACAGCGGAGUCAAUCACCACCUUCCGGAGACACCUGAAACCCCACCUCUUUAAGGAAUACCUGGGAUAGGAUAAAGACUGGUGGUAGAGGCAGAUUACCCACUUGCAGUCGGAUCCUUACAAGACACCCCGACCUACGUCCCCGAUAUUGCCGUCUCUUUCUCCUGCGAAUGAUAGGGAUGUGGGCCUUGUCGGUUGUCUGAAGUAAAUCCUUUGUGUCCGACUCGCUAAAGAAAAAAUCUUGUCCAGUAUGAGGUGAGUAAUCGCUGUCCUGAUAUCCAGAAGCUCGUUUAGGUCAUAAGACACGGUGGUAGAAACAUUAUGUUCAAAAUAAGUUUGAAAUAACGCAAAAAAACACAAACUGUUACAUCUGCUCCUGCCACGCCCUUUACUUCUCAUCCUGGACCUCCCUAACCUGCCACCACUCCCCCAGUGCUCUCUCUCUCUCUCUCUCUCUGUAUGUGAUUGUGUGAGUGGAGACAGGUGUGCUGGAAGCAGAGCAGAUUCCCACCAGCUCCAGCCUGUUCCAUAAUCAAGAACCCUACAAAUACUCAGCCCUGCCACUUCCACGCUGCCAGAUCGUAGCCUCUACUCAUCCCAUCUGCUCUGACUCUGGUACCUGUCUCCAGUCCCUCGUCUCCUCAGUCCUGCUUCCCUGACCUGGAUACCAGCUCUACUGCUUCAUUGGAUUCCGCUCCAGACCUGCUUAUCCGGUUCCCAAUCCCCUUGCCCCCAGCCUCAGCCUCAUUCAGGAUUCCCUACUACCCACAGGAGAUUCCCCUGGACUGCACCCCAUCUCCUCUCCCGCUUUUAAAUUAAUACAUUGGUUACCUAUCCUUGUCUCCCCGUCUGAGUCUGCAUUUGGGUUCACCUGCUCCAAACAAUAGCACAAUUGUUUAAGAGCCCGUAAAACGGCAGCCAUCUCCUCCAGCGCAUGUCUGUCUUCAUGGAGCAUGUCUGUCUUCAUUGUUCUGUUGCGCAAUUUUGCACCUGGCCUUUCCACAAGGUGUGUAAAUCUUUCAGGAAAAGCCUGACUACAAAAGCUUGUUGGACACUUAUUUCAACAUAGCCUGCUAAUAGCCUAUUGGAGGAGAGAUGAAUGCUUGUUCUUGCUUGCUGAAUGUAAAAUAGGAUACAGCAUGAACGGGCGGGGAGUUGGAAAGGAGAAGCCCAUUAUUUUCCUAUAGUAGGUCUAUUUUAACAGCAAGCUACAUCCUGACAAAAUAGGCAUACACCAUAUGAGUGGCCUGCUUUCUCAGCUGUGGAGAGUAGACUCAAACUGAUCCAAAUAGUUGUAUAAUCAGGCCUAGGCAGUUGGCCUAUGCAGUUAUUUCGGCAUGAAACAAAACAGGAGGUGUGGGCGGUUAUUCAAAUUAGAUUACAUCAGUGCAGUUUACUGCACUUGAUAACAAUAAUACAUUCCUCUUUGCAUUGUGUUGUUGUAGCCCAGGUAUAAUAAUUGUAUUGUCUAAAAAUAUAGGCCUAGGCCUAAUCAAUAGUGGAGCUUUGCAUGCCCGGGGACCACAGAGCGCAGCUUGGAGGAACGCACCUUGAUCUGCCAUUUCAUAAUCUGUUCAUUUAUUUUUCUUGCACUUUGACAGGUAAAUAUUUAGCAUAUAGCCCUAAUAUUUUGCUAAUGAAUGGCCUAAUAUCUAGCUAAUAUUUAGCUUCUUACUUUGGCUAUACAUAGUGUAAUGGCCUUGGUUAUAGCUAAAUAUAAGAUACUUUUAUUCGUAGGUUAUUUUCAAUGUGUUGCCACGUUUAAUAACCUAUAUGCUAAGUAACAAACUACAUGAGACUCUAUGAUAAAUAGCCAUGUUCACAUCCCCCCUUCUUUAAUAAAACAUUCCCCAAAUGUUUAUCAAUGGUAUGUUUACAUUCAAACCCCAUUUACUGUUAUUACAUAAUGAAGCUAUCAAGAUGACAAUUUACAAUCACAAAUUAACCUUUACUGUGAGCACAACCCAUUAAGUAACUUCUGAUCUUCUCAAAACCAUACCUGUAACUAUAAUGUUAAACACCACAGUUUAAUCUUAAACUUAACUGUUCCGUGUUUGGCUAACCAACAAGUAAGCCCAUAAACAUAAUUAACAACCUUCAAUGUCUCUUUUAACCAUCUCCUUUCUUUUUUUCAUAUUUUCUUUUUUAAGGAGAGGUGCUCUUUCUUUUCAAAGUUUUACAGGUCCAGUCUCUCAACUGGCUUUCUCACUCGUCCUGAACGUGUGACAUUAGUCCCUAUUCCUGUUUGUGUAACAGUUACAUUUAUAUUCAAGUUCCUCGGCGUACACAUCACUGACAAACUGAAAUGGUCCACCCACACAGACAGAGUGGUGAAGAAGGCGCAACAGCACUUCUUCAACCUCAGAGGCCGAAGAAAUUUGGCUUGCCACCUAAAGCUCUCGCAAACUUUUACAGAUGCACAAUUGAGAGCAUCCUGUCGGGCUGUUUCACCACCUGGUACGGCAACUGCACCGCCCGCAACCGCAGGGCUCUCCAGAGGGCGGUGCCGGUCUGCCCAACUCAUCACCGGGGGCAAACUAUCUGCCCUCUAGGACACCUACAGCACCCUGUCACAGGAAGGCCAAAAGGAUCGUCAAGGACUACAACCACCCAAGCCCCUGGCCUGUUCACCACGCUAUCAUCCAGAAGGCAGAAACUCAAUCAGAAAGUACCCGUGCUAAGGACUAUUCAACGCUGGUCUGACCAAUCGGAAUCCACGUUUCAAGAUCGUUUUGAUCAAGUGGACUGGGAUAUGUUCCGGGUAGCUUCCGAGAGUAAUAUCGAUGAAUACACUGAUUCGGAGACUGAGUUUAUCAGGAAGUGUAUAGGAGAUGUUGUACCCACUGUGACUAUUAAAACCUACCUUAACCAAAAACCGUGGAUAGAUGGCAGCAUUCGUGCAAAACUGAAAGCACGAACCACCGCAUUUAACCAUGGCAAAGUGACUGGGAAUAUGACAGAAUACAAACAGUUAUUCCCUCUGCAAGGCAAUCAAAUAGGCAAAACGUCAGUACAGAGACAAAGUGGAGUCGCAAUUCAACAGCUCAGACACAAGACGUAUGUGGCAGGGUCUACAGACAAUGACGGACUACAAAAGGAAAACCAGCCAUGUCGCAGACACCGUCGUCUUGCUUCCGGACAAGCUAAACACUUUCUUUGCCCGCUUUAAGGAUAACACAGUGCCACCGACUUGACCCGCUACCAAGGACUGUUGUCUCUCCUUCUCCGUGCCCGAUGUGAGUAAGACGUUUAAGUGUGUUAACCCUCGCAAGGUUGCCAGGCCAGACGGCAUCCCUAGCCACGUCCUCAGAGUAUGCACAGACCAGCUGGCUGGUGUGUUUACGGACAUAUUCAAUCUCUCCCUAUCCCAGUAUGUUGUCCCCACAUGCUUCAAGAUGGCCACCAUUGUUCCAGUGCCCAAGAAAGCAAAGGUAACUGAACUAAAUGACUAUAGCCUUGUAGCACUCACAUCUGUCAUCAUGAAGUGCUUUGAGAGACUAGUCAAGAAUCAUAUCACCUCUAUCUUACCUGUCACCCACUUCAAUUUGCUUACCGCCCCAACAGACGAUGCAAUCGCCAUCACACUGCACACUGCCCUAUCCCAUCUAGACAGGAGGAAUACAUAUGUAAGAAUGUUGUUCAUUGACAUUCAACACCAUAGUACCCUCCAAGCUCAUCAUUAAGCUUGAGGCCCUGUGACUGAACCCCGCUCUGUGCAACUGGGUCCUGGACUUUCUGACGGGCCGCCCCCAGGUGGUGAAGGAAGGAAAAAACACCUCCACUUCGCUGAUCCUCAAUACUGGGGCCCCACAAAGGUGCAUACUCAGUCCCCUCCUGUACUCCCUGUUCACCCAUGACUGCGUGGCCAAACACGCCUUCAACUCAAUCAUCAAGUUUGCAGUUGACACAACAGUAGUAGGCUUGAUUACCAACAAUGACGAGACAGCCUACAGGGAGGAGGUGAGGGCUCAACAUCAACAAAACAAAGGAGAUGAUCGUGGACUUCGGGAAACAGCAGAGGUAGCACCCCCAACCACAUCAACGGGACUGCAGUAGAGAAGGUUGAAAGCUUCAAGUUCCUCGGCGUACACAUCACUGACAAACUGAAAUGGUCCACUCACACAGACAGUGUGGUGAAGAAGGCGCAACAGCGGCUCUUCGACCUAAGGAGGCUGAAGAAAUUUGGCUUAUCACCUAAAACCCUCGCAAACGUUUGCAUCCUGUCGGGCUGUAUCACUGCUUGGUACGGCAACUGCAACCGCAAGGCUCUCCAGAGGGUGGUGCAGUCUGCCCAACUCAUCACCAGGGGCAAACUACCUGCCCUCCAGGACACCUACAGCACCCGAUGUCACAGGAAGGCCAUAAAGAUCAUCAAGGACAACAACCACCCGAGCCACUGCCUGUUCACCCUGCUAUCAUGCAGAAGGUGAGGUCAGUACAGGUGCAUCAAAGCUGGGACCGAGAGACUGAAAAACAGCUUCUAACUCAAGGCCAUCAAGCUGUUAAAUAGCCAUCACUAACACAUAGAGGCUGCUGCCUAUAUAAAUAGACUUGAAAUCACUGGCCACUUUAAUAAAUGGAACACUAGUCACUACAUAUCUUGCAUUACCCAUCUCAUAUGUACAGUAUAUACUGUAUCCUAUACUAUUUUACUGUUUCUUAUUCAAUGCCACUCUGACAUUGCUCGUCCAUAUAUUUAUAUAUUCUUAAUUCCAUUCCUUUACUUAGAUUUGUGUGUAUUGGGUUUAUGUUGUGUAAUUGUUAGAUAUUACUUGUUAGAUAUUACUGCACUGUCAAAGCUAGAAGCACAAGCAUUUCGAUACACCCACAAUAACAUCUGCUAAACACAUGUAUGUGACCAAUUAAAUUGAACGUGUUAUAAAGGGCACCUUAAUGUAAAGUGCCACCCAGAUGUUGAUCAUGCUAAGAUAAUAAUAAAGACUCGUAAUAGACUGAGGUAACUACAGAUGCUGAGGAGACUGGUUAUAGGGGCUCUGAAUUGAAAACAAAUACAACAAAGGUCACCAUCACUCAUGUGUUGUUGCAAUCGUCGCUGGGUACUUAGAGAGGAGAGUUAUAAAAUCAUUAAUUCAAGCUUCCAAAAGAA